UUAAAUUGAAGAGUUUGAUCAUGGCUCAGAUUGAACGCUGGCGGCAGGCCUAACACAUGCAAGUCGAACGGUAACAGGAAGCAGCUUGCUGCUUCGCUGACGAGUGGCGGACGGGUGAGUAAUGUCUGGGAAACUGCCUGAUGG
rnacentral:rRNA from 14 species